rnacentral:lncRNA from 1 species
UUUCGGAAGUUAAUCGCCCGAGAUAUGACCCAUCCUGAAAAGUAGCUCUAAUCUAGGAGCUGCAUUGUUGUUCGAGAUCCUCUGCACGGCAGUUCGCGGGCUUGGUGCAAGCGGCUUGCUGUGGAUUGAUCUUUCAAGCUGGGAGCUUUGGGAUCAGCCGGGCCUGCAAGGGUUUGGAAUUGCUCGAAAGAAUACAGCUUUGAACAACAUAGGGGGGAUGACCGUAUUCAGGGGCGGUCCUCCUAAAGUGGAGAAAGACUAGGGGAAUAUGGGGUCCGGAUCUUGCGGUGCAUACAGUUUCAGCGGAAGUAGCUGUCCGCUCCCUUGUCCAGUAACCAUUCUGAGUGGGGCUAGAACUUUGACGGGAAAAGCGCCGGGUCCGGGAAAGAAAGGAGUCACACAAAUAGGUGGUGACUUCCUCUACUCGCUUCAGUACAAGAAGGCGGACCUUUUUCCAGCAAGUCGGGUUGCUACCGGGACUACUGUGGAAGCUGGGUGGUUCUGAGGUACCAUCCCCUAGGCUUUCAGUGGCCUAUGGAAGUAGCAUGUCGGGGUGAAGAAGGUGGCUCCAUACCCGGGAAUGUGGGGUGUUUGGUUUGCGCAAAAGACGAAAGGAAAGACGGGGGCGAGCAAGCCCUCUUUUUCCGGAAGAAGGUCGACCCUUACUCUAUUUCCUCAAAGGAAGAAAUAGUCGGGUCGGAGAGAGACAGCCUACCCUCAUUUUGUGGGGAGCUACAGUGCUUUUUCGGACUGAAUUCCAGCAAGACACGGCUCCGGAUAUUUUUAUUCUGGUAUCGCUAGCAGGGGACAGUCUCGUAAAACAGUCUCUCUUAUACCUUUUGUGGUCUAAGGCAAAAAGAAAGCUAUUAACCGCAAGGAAGAUAGUUCCAAACACCCCCCGGGGAGGUGAACCAAAGCUGAGCUUUGGCCCUCGGGGAAGCGGCAGUUUGGGUCGGUGUUCAGCGGGACGGUAGAGGAGGCCUAGCUACUAUAGUCUUACAAGAAACAGAAGCCUCAAUAAAGCGCGUUUAUCGGGUCCUAUUGCUCAGUGUAAUGUUGUAGGAAGGGUUACUAGUGGAUAUGCUAUGAAACCCUUUAAGAAAACCAUCUGGACUAGAAAAGGUGCUCUGGCAGAGAUUAGUAAGAAUAAGGCAAAAAGCUCGCAACAAGGAUAGUAGAGUAAGAAAAGAACAACAGAAAAGUAAGAAAAAAACAACAGAAAAAGAAGCUCAGUAGCAGCAAGUAAGGUCUUCCCUUACUCUAUUUCCUCAAAGGAAGAAAUAGUCGGGAAGUAGAUAGAGCGGACCGUUUCCCCCUCCGAGCUUUGCCCUCCUCCCCUCGGGGGAGACACCAACUUCCUUCGGUGAUGUUAGCAGCCCUUGUUUUUCUAAAAAGAAGAAAAAGCACUAGAAAUCGGUAAUGCCGUAAGUGAGGUUCGAAACCACUGAUGUCGAUCCGGUAGCUGAGUAACGUCAGUUCUGAAACCUCGUAUCUACGCAGGACGCGCCAUAAUUAUUUCGUAAGCUUGAGAGGUGUAAUUUCGGAAGUUAAUCGCCCGAGAUAUGACCCAUCCUGAAAAGUAGCUCUAAUCUAGGAGCUGCAUUGUUGUUCGAGAUCCUCUGCACGGCAGUUCGCGGGCUUGGUGCAAGCGGCUUGCUGUGGAUUGAUCUUUCAAGCUGGGAGCUUUGGGAUCAGCCGGGCCUGCAAGGGUUUGGAAUUGCUCGAAAGAAUACAGCUUUGAACAACAUAGGGGGGAUGACCGUAUUCAGGGGCGGUCCUCCUAAAGUGGAGAAAGACUAGGGGAAUAUGGGGUCCGGAUCUUGCGGUGCAUACAGUUUCAGCGGAAGUAGCUGUCCGCUCCCUUGUCCAGUAACCAUUCUGAGUGGGGCUAGAACUUUGACGGGAAAAGCGCCGGGUCCGGGAAAGAAAGGAGUCACACAAAUAGGUGGUGACUUCCUCUACUCGCUUCAGUACAAGAAGGCGGACCUUUUUCCAGCAAGUCGGGUUGCUACCGGGACUACUGUGGAAGCUGGGUGGUUCUGAGGUACCAUCCCCUAGGCUUUCAGUGGCCUAUGGAAGUAGCAUGUCGGGGUGAAGAAGGUGGCUCCAUACCCGGGAAUGUGGGGUGUUUGGUUUGCGCAAAAGACGAAAGGAAAGACGGGGGCGAG